rnacentral:rRNA from 1 species
GACGAACGCUGACAGCAUGCUUAACACAUGCAAGUCGACCGGAAUUUGGGUUUUUUACUUAGGUUUGGGUGGCGGACGGGUGAGUAACGCGCAAAGGACUUGUCUCCCAGCUAGGGACAAAAUUUGGAAACGAAUGCUAAUACCUAAUAUAAUAAUACUAGCGCAUCCUAUAAUUAUGAAAACUAUAAGCGUUGUGGGAGAGAUUGGCGUCCCAUUAGCUAGUUGGGGAGGUAACGGCUCACCAAGGCGAUGAUGGGUAGCCGGCCUGAGAGGGUGAUCGGCACAAAGGGAACUGGGACACGGCCCUAACUCCUACGGGAGGAAACAGUGGGGACUAUUGGACAAUGGACGAAGAGUCUGAUACAAAAAUCGUGUGUGGAAGAUCAGGUUUUGGGGAAUAUAAAGUGUUUGCAUGUGAGAAGGAAGAAGUGACGGUAACGACAGAAGAAGUGACGGCUAAAUACGUG